AACGAACGCUGGCGGCAUGCCUAACACAUGCAAGUCGAACGAGACCUUCGGGUCUAGUGGCGCACGGGUGCGUAACGCGUGGGAACCUGCCCUUAGGUUCGGAAUAACUCCCCGAAAGGGGUGCUAAUACCGGAUAAUGUCUUCGGACCAAAGAUUUAUCGCCUUUGGAUGGGCCCGCGUUGGAUUAGCUAGUUGGUAGGGUAAAAGCCUACCAAGGCGACGAUCCAUAGCUGGUCUGAGAGGAUGAUCAGCCACACUGGGACUGAGACACGGCCCAGACUCGUACGGGAGGCAGCUGUGGGGAAUAUUGGACAAUGGGCGAAAGACUGAUCCAGCAAUGCCGCGUGAGUGAUGAAGGCCUUAGGGUUGUAAAGCUCUUUUACCCGGGAUGAUAAUGACAGUACCGGGAGAAUAAGCUCCGGCUAACUCCGUG
rnacentral:rRNA from 1 species